rnacentral:lncRNA from 1 species
CCCUGUCCUUCCCUGCAGAAACAAACCUUCACGAAGAAGAGGAGCGCGUGGAGGCUCCUUGGGAUCCAGGCAGGAUGUGGAGAGACCAUUUAAUAACUUCAUUUCUCCCUGCUCUCCUGGCCUCUGCCUGGGAUAAUGAAAAAUUAUGGAAAUUGAAGAUAAGUCAUUCAUUAGAACCCCGAGGGGAAAAAUGCAAAGAUAAAGUCAGCCGGCGAGCUCUGUACCGAAACUAAAUUUGGAAUUAACACCAUCUCAAGGAAUUUGAGAUAUUUGAAUAGGGUCAUUGUUUUCUUUCAUAAAACAAGCCGUGAAGUCACAUGACACUAUGUAAUGCAUCCACAGGAACAGCGGCAUGGCUCAACAUGCCUCCCGGGCUCUGAAAGGAACCGCAGCAUCCUCUCAGCUGGAAACGUCCUCAGGGGCACGGUGCUUGGACUCUUCCGGUCUGCGGAGCCCCAGGCUGGAAGCUCUGGAUCAUGCACGGGAAGAAGGAAGGUGUCUGGGGCCUUCCGAGUGGAGCAGCGGCGCUUGCUUUCUGGGGAAAUGCUGUGGACACGCCCUGCCAAAGCGCAAAGCCAGAGUCCCCCAGCCAGGGCAUGACAAAAGAUCAGCCAGGACAGCAAAGCUCUUUUCCCUGCAGGCGCCGAGGAGGACCUGCCUGGCUCCCUUGGAGCUGUGGUCACUUGCAGGGUCCCAGAGUCCCUCUGAAGCCCAUCCUUUAUUAGUGGGGAUGUGGCAGGUGCUUAGGGUGGACCCCAGCGCCCUGUCCUGCCGCCCCCUCCUGGGGAAGGAGUUGGGUGAUUCCCUGAAUUCAGGGGAGGGAAGCAGAGGCUGAGGGGCUCUGAGCAGCCCCAGGUUCUCCUGUCCCUUUGGGGGGGUGGCUUACCUUCUGUCACUUCUGUUUUCUCCCUCCCCUAUUGCCCCUCCCCCUCGUCUCCCCUCGGGAACUCUAGUUUGUUUUCUGAUGGUUGGGUCUCUUUCUGUUUUGUACAUAUACUCAUUGGCAGCCCUUCACUUCUUAAAUCCGGUCUUUGAACCCAGCCCCUCCUGUGUGCAGGUACCCCAACUUUCCAGAUGCUUGGUUUCCUCCCUCGGAUGUUGCAACACUGAUGCCUGGGAGAGUCGCUCUGAGGAGUCUAUGGGGUCUUGUAUGUACGGAGCCGGGGCCCAGCAAAGGCAGCUAUCGGACUUUUAAUUUCGUGAGUGCCUCUGUUGAUCGGGAGGAGGUGUGAUGAGUCUGGACAUGGGGUGAACUUCCCCUCGGGGAGACGGCUCUGCUACCCUUGAGCUCAGCGGGGGUGUCUUCGCAAUUGACCUGGGUACAGCACGUCGGAGGCAGGACACAUCUGCCUGUGCUCUCUCUGCGAAUCCAUGAAUCUGCAAAUCUGAGAAUCCUCUUCAGCACACUGCGGUCAGCGCUGCAGCUUCCCUUUUAUGAAGGGGAUGCCUUGGAGAAACGAGGCUCACGUGAGCACUUGUCUAAGGCCCGGCAGCUCAUCAGAGGCUGUGGGACACCCCGGUCUGGGUCCCUGCUGCUCUGCGCUGCUGUAGCCCGGGACCAGGCUCCCUUCACACUCCUCCUACCCGAGACAGGCCUUUGGAAACCCUGCAGACGGCUCUGCCUGCGCUCAGGUCGAACCCGGGCCUCGGCACGCCCACCACAGAAGCUGCCUGGUUUUGGUUUAUCUGGGCUCGCCAGCUUCUAAUCCAUCCAGAGCCCCGCUCAGGGCUUCCAAGCUAGAUCGGCAACUGGGCUUUAUUGAGUUGUCUUCUCUUUAACCACAUUAGCGAGACCGUUUUGGCGUAAUCUGCUUAAAAGAAACAGACGCUAAACC